rnacentral:rRNA from 1 species
ACGCACGCUGGCGGCGUGCCUAAUCCAUGCAAGUAGAACGCUGAAGGAGGAGCUUGCUUCUCUGGAUGAGUUGCGAACGGGUGAGUAACGCGUAGGUAACCUGCCUGGUAGCGGGGGAUAACUAUUGGAAACGAUAGCUAAUACCGCAUAAGAGUAGAUGUUGCAUGACAUUUGCUUAAAAGGUGCAAUUGCAUCACUACCAGAUGGACCUGCGUUGUAUUAGCUAGUUGGUGGGGUAACGGCUCACCAAGGCGACGAUACAUAGCCGACCUGAGAGGGUGAUCGGCCACACUGGGACUGAGACACGGCCCAGACUCCUACGGGAGGCAGCAGUAGGGAAUCUUCGGCAAUGGACGGAAGUCUGACCGAGCAACGCCGCGUGAGUGAAGAAGGUUUUCGGAUCGUAAAGCUCUGUUGUAAGAGAAGAACGAGUGUGAGAGUGGAAAGUUCACACUGUGACGGUAUCUUACCAGAAAGGGACGGCUAACUACGUG